GAUUCAUAGUAACUUAACGGAUCGCAUGGCCUUGCGCCGGCGACGGUUCAUUCAAAUUUCUGCCCUAUCAACUUUCGAUGGUAAGGUAUUGGCUUACCAUGGUUUCAACGGGUAACGGGGAAUUAGGGUUCGAUUCCGGAGAGGGAGCCUGAGAAACGGCUACCACAUCCAAGGAAGGCAGCAGGCGCGCAAAUUACCCAAUCCCGACACGGGGAGGUAGUGACAAUAAAUACUGAUACAGGGCUCUUUUGGGUCUUGUAAUCGGAAUGAGUACAAUUUAAACCCCUUAACGAGGAACAAUUGGAGGGCAAGUCUGGUGCCAGCAGCCGCGGUAAUUCCAGCUCCAAUAGCGUAUAUUAAAGUUGUUGCAGUUAAAAAGCUCGUAGUUGAACCUUGGGCCUGGCUGGCCGGUCCGCCUCACCGCGUGUACUGGUCCGGCCGGGCCUUUCCUUCUGGAGAGCCCCAUGCCCUUCACUGGGUGUGCGGGGGAACCAGGACUUUUAC
rnacentral:rRNA from 1 species